GACGAACGCUGGCGGCGUGCUUAACACAUGCAAGUCGAACGGAAAGGCACUGCUUUUGUGGGGUGCUCGAGUGGCGAACGGGUGAGUAACACGUGAGUAACCUGCCCUUGACUUUGGGAUAACUUCAGGAAACUGGGGCUAAUACCGGAUAGGAGCUCCUGCUGCAUGGUGGGGGUUGGAAAGUUUCGGCGGUUGGGGAUGGACUCGCGGCUGAUCAGCUUGUUGGUGGGGUAGUGGCUUACCAAGGCUUUGACGGGUAGGCGGCCUGAGAGGGUGACCGGCGACAUUGGGACUGAGAUACGGAGCAGACUGCUACGGGAGGCAGCAGUGGCGAACAUUGCACAAUGGGCGGAAGCCUGAUGCAGAAACGCCGCGUGCGGGAAGACGGUCUGCGGGUUGUGAACAGCUUUCGCCUGUGACGAAGCGGGAGUGACGGUAAUGGAUAAAUAAGCACCGGCUAACUACGUG
rnacentral:rRNA from 1 species